rnacentral:rRNA from 1 species
CGGGACGGGUGAGUAACGCGUGAGGAACCUGCCUCAGAGUGGGGGAUAACACACCGAAAGGUGUGCUAAUACCGCAUAACAUAUGGGAGGGGCAUCCCUUUCAUAUCAAAGAUUUAUUGCUCUGAGAUGGCCUCGCGUCCAAUUAGCUAGUUGGCGGGGUAACGGCCCACCAAGGCGACGAUUGGUAGCCGGACUGAGAGGUUGAACGGCCACAUUGGGACUGAGACACGGCCCAGACUCCUACGGGAGGCAGCAG